AGCUUCAGUAGCGUAUAUUAAAGUUGUUGCAGUUAAAAAGCUCGUAGUCGCAUUUCUGGCGAGAGGAUCCGGUCCGACCUUUUGGUGGGUUCUCGGGUCUCUUUCGCCAUCCUUGAGUGGUCCGUUCUGGCAUUAGGUUGUCGGAGCGUCAGCCGCUCAUCGUUUACUGUGAGAAAAUUAGAGUGUUCAAAGCAGGCUUAUGCCGUUGAAUAUAUUAGCAUGGAAUAAUAAGAUAGGACCUCGGUACUAUUUUGUUGGUUUGCGCACCAAGGUAAUGAUGAACAGGGACAGUUGGGGGUAUUUGUAUUUCGUUGUCAGAGGUGAAAUCCUUAGAUUUACGAAAGACAAACUACUGCGAAAGCAUUUACCAAGGAUGUUUUCA
rnacentral:rRNA from 1 species